GUCCCAGCAUGCUUUGCGCGGCGCUGGAGUCGAAGGUGACACGAAAGGAAGAGAAAGGAGAGCGCCGAGUCAAACAGAGCGGAGAAGGAGGAGAAUGGCCUCCGCGUACCUCAGUCACCAGCAGAAGGUGCUGCGACUCUACAAGAAAUCCCUUAGACACAUCGAGUCGUGGUGUAUCUUUCGUGACAAGUACCGCUUCUACGCGUGCCUGCUGCGCGCCCGCUUCGACGAGAACAAGAACGAGAAGGACAUGAUGAAGGCCGCCAUGCUGCUGAAAGCGGGAGAGGAGGAGUUCUGGGACAAGCAGCAUCCGCAGCCCUACAUCUUCCCCGACUCCCCCGGCGGAACCUCCUACGAGCGCUACGAAUGCUACAAGACGCCCGAGUGGGUCCUGGAUCAUUGGCACCCGUCCGAGAAGGCCGUGUACCCCGACUACUUCGCCAAGAGGGAGCAGUGGAAGAAGCUGAGGGCGCUCAGCUGGGAUAAAGAGGUGGCUCAGCUGCAGGCCGAGACUCCGGCCGACGGGCCCAAGUCGGAAGCCCUCCCCCCGGCCCGCAAGGAGGGCGACCUGCCGCCUCUGUGGUGGCAGUACGUCACCCGCCCAAGGGAGCGCCCCACAUAAACGCCCCACCUCUCGCCCCCACCCGCUGUUGAAUUAGUGUCCGGAAGAACGUUUGACUUUGUCCAGAGGUUCACGUUUGUUGGCCAAGACGACCACCCGAUCCCAUUUGGGAUGGAACUUGUAGUGUAACACAGGAUCGACAUUUUGAGCCCCUCCAGGAGUGGAAUCAGAUGGUCGGGCGUUGCCGUGGCGACAUGCACGGCCUGAAGUUGUACGCCGAGAUCAACGUGCCAGGAGAGGGCCUUGCUGGAGUAGAAGUCUGAAUCCUUUCAGGAGAACCACACCACCCUGUUGGGACCCAGCAGGUUGUCAGCCUUCAGGGGGUAACCACCUCCCUGAAGACAGAUGUCACGUCAGUCUUCUUAAUGAGUUAAUAGAAAAUUAUUGUUAAAAGAGAUGUUAUUUCCCUAUAAAAGCAAUUUUUUUCAAACUUUUUUGUGCUCUUUGACCAACCAAACAGAGAUUUGUCAACUAAAAUUAGAUUUUGUUCAACAUGAAAACAUCCUGAAA